rnacentral:piRNA from 1 species
GCUGUAUCCCACGUUGAGAGCAAGGA